rnacentral:pre_miRNA from 1 species
CAACUACUUCCUCCGUUCCGAAUUACUUGUCUUGGAUUUAUCUAGAUACGGAGGUAUCUAGCACUAAAAUGAGUCUAGAUACAUCCGUAUCUAAACAAAUCCAAGACAAGUAAUUCGGAACGGAGGGAGUACUUG